AAAUAGGCAAGCUAUCAUGAUACAUGAUUCUCUGGUCUUUUAAGAUAUUUCCUUUGGUACAUUACAAGAGUUUCAAGAAAGACUUAUGUAACAAUAAUGUGACUUUAUGAAGAGUAAGCAUGUGCCACACUGUUGCUCCUGAUAUUUGGCUGGUGUGCUAUAUUCUUUUCAUUAGGGGAAGCUCUUAAAAAUGAAUGGGGUUGAACUGGUCUCCUGUCCUUCAUGGCGCCCCCAAGAAGGGCAGCAAGGGUCCAGGACAGAGCAUCCUCCUGGGCAAACAGCCAGGGUCCUCAAGCAGGGAGUUCAACACAGCUUGCCCUUGUGAGUGUGGCUUGGGGCCACAGUGAUCACAACACAUAUUUCCAGUUUGAUUUUUCCAACAAGAGCAGUCACAUUCUCCUUUAAACAGAGACAUGCUUUUCCAUAAUCUUAACCUCACACACUCUCCCAGCUCCAUAUACAGAAGCAGUUACCCUUUAGAGCACCUGAGGUCAGGGCUAACUUCUGGGAGUUCUCACAGGUUUGGGUCAUCACACCUGGUCAGCCAUCCCGUACAGAAAACCACACUGAACCUGCCUUCCCUCAUCCUACCCUCCGUACAGCCUGCUCCCCACACACCCACCCCCAACAACAAACCCUAAACACACAAGAUCUUGAGCAAAAUGACAUUAAGGUAGUAAUUUAUAUUUAUAAUACACAUGGUAGGCACUCAAUAAUGGAGAAAGAAAAAUAAGAGAAGAUGCAGAAAAAUACUU
rnacentral:lncRNA from 1 species